UACAGAGGGGGCAAGCGUUGUCCGGAUUUAUUGGGCGUAAAGAGCGUGUAGGCGGCCAGGUAGGUCUGCUGUGAAAACUCGAGGCUUAACCUCGAGCUGUCGGCGGAAACCAUCUGGCUAGAGUCCGGAAGAGGAGAAUGGAAUUCCCGGGUGUAGCGGUGAAAUGCGCAGAUAUCAUGAGGAAUACCAGAGGCGAAGGCGGCUACCUGGACAAUUGCUGACGCUCAGGCACGAAAGCGUGGGGAGCAAAAGGG
rnacentral:rRNA from 1 species